AUAAUGGCCCUCUUCAGGGCCACGUAACAUGCCAGAUAGGUUCUG
rfam:Chelonia mydas contig227394, whole genome shotgun sequence.